rnacentral:tRNA from 1 species
GUUUUUAUAGUUUAAAAAAAAAAUAUUGGUCUUGUAAACCUAAGUUAAGUUAAAACUUUAAAAACU